AUUCCAUGGUGUGGACCUUUUCUCAGCAAUUCUUUAAAAGGUUCCCAUGCUUCCCAUAGACUCGUCAUCUUUCUAUAACACAUGAAUCAUGUUCCUCAGGUU
rfam:Helianthus annuus linkage group 13, whole genome shotgun sequence.